AGUAAUGAAAAUAAUCUAGUGAUUGAACAGCCUCCCUGAUACCAGAUAAACAGCAGGUUCACAUCUAGAUUUAGCUUCCGAGUACGCCGGCCGUAAUAGCCACUCUGC